rnacentral:rRNA from 1 species
GUAAGGAAUAUUGGUCAAUGGAGGCAACUCUGAACCAGCCAUGCCGCGUGCAGGAAGACGGCCCUAUGGGUUGUAAACUGCUUUUAUACGGGAAUAAACCUCUCUACGUGUAGCGAGUUGAAUGUACUGUAAGAAUAAGGAUCGGCUAACUCCGUGCCAGCAGCCGCGGUAAUACGGAGGAUCCAAGCGUUAUCCGGAUUUAUUGGGUUUAAAGGGUGCGUAGGCGGCCGAUUAAGUCAGGGGUGAAAGACGGUGGCUCAACCAUCGCAGUGCCAUUGGUACUGAUGGGCUUGAUUACACUUGAAGUAGGCGGAAUGUGACAAGUAGCGGUGAAAUGCAUAGAUAUGUCACAGAACACCAAUUGCGAAGGCAGCUCACUAAGGCGAUACUGACGCUGAGGCACGAAAGCGUGGGGAUCGAACAGGAUUAGAUACCCCAGUAGUCC